rnacentral:rRNA from 1 species
AUGUCUUCACCGCCGCCAAGCCCGUCUCUUCCGCUGCCGGUCACCUUGUCGCCUCAGGCGACCACCAUGACCGUCACCCCGCUCCUGCCCGCGCCGGGAUUCUCUGUCGCGCCCGCCCCCACCGUCCUCACCUGGGAGGAGGUGUCCGGGGUGCUGUGGGACCUAACCCAGGCGGUCCAGGAGAUCCAUGUGUUCUUGGACGGGUCCUACAGGCCGCACUCGGUUGCGCCGCCCAUCGCCGCCCCCGCACCGCCGUGGCUGUCGUGGCAGCCGCCGCACCAGGCGGCCUUCGCCGCGCUUGCCGGGCCGCUGCAGCUGCCAUCCAUCGCCACCACCGCCCAGCCCUGGCUGCAGUGGCAGCCGCCGCUCCUGGCGGCCUCCGCCGCGCCCGGCGCGACAGCGCAGCAGCCGCUGUAG